UCCCUGUUAGUCCAGUGGUUAAGACUCUGUGCUUCCACUGCAAGGAGCCUGGGUUCAAUUCCUGGUCGGGGAA
rfam:TPA: Bos taurus chromosome 5, whole genome shotgun sequence.